rnacentral:rRNA from 1 species
UGGGGGAUAUUGCACAAUGGGCGAAAGCCUGAUGCAGCGACGCCGCGUGGGGGAUGAAGGCUUUCGGGUUGUAAACCUCUUUCGCUAUCGAACAAGGCCCGCUUAGGGUGGGUUGAGGGUAGGUGGAGAAGAAGCGCCGGCUAACUACGUGCCAGCAGCCGCGGUAAUACGUAGGGCGCGAGCGUUGUCCGGAAUUAUUGGGCGUAAAGGGCUUGUAGGCGGCUUGUUGCGCCUGCUGUGAAAACGCGGGGCUUAACUUCGCGCGUGCAGUGGGUACGGGCAGGCUUGAGUGUGGUAGGGGUGACUGGAAUUCCAGGUGUAGCGGUGGAAUGCGCAGAUAUCUGGAGGAACACCGAUGGCGAAGGCAGGUCACUGGGCCAUUACUGACGCUGAGGAGCGAAAGCAUCGGUAGCGAACAGG